AUUGAACGCUGGCGGCAUGCUUUACACAUGCAAGUCGAACGGUAACAGGCCUUCGGGUGCUGACGAGUGGCGAACGGGUGAGUAAUGCAUCGGAACGUGCCCAGAGGUGGGGGAUAACGCAGCGAAAGCUGUGCUAAUACCGCAUGUGAUCUGAGGAUGAAAGCGGGGGACCAGGCAGCAAUGUUUGGCCUCGCGCCUUUGGAGCGGCCGAUGUCAGAUUAGGUAGUUGGUGGGGUAAAGGCCUACCAAGCCGACGAUCUGUAGCUGGUCUGAGAGGACGACCAGCCACACUGGGACUGAGACACGGCCCAGAAUCCUACGGGAGGCAGCAGUGGGGAAUUUUGGACAAUGGGCGCAAGCCUGAUCCGGCAAUGCCGCGUGCGGGAAGAAGGCCUUCGGGUUGUAAACCGCUUUUGUACGGAACGAAAAGGCUCUGGCUAAUACCUGGGGCUGAUGACGGUACCGUAAGAAUAAGCACCGGCUAACUACGUG
rnacentral:rRNA from 1 species